rnacentral:rRNA from 1 species
UACAGAGGGUGCAAACGUUGCUCGGAAUUACUGGGCGUAAAGCGCGUGUAGGCGGUUCGUUAAGUCGUCUGUGAAAGCCCAUGGCUCAACCAUGGAAGUGCAGCCGAUACUGGCAAACUUGAGUCCCGGAGAGGAUGGCGGAAUUCCCAGUGUAGAGGUGAAAUUCGUAGAUAUUGGGAGGAACACCGGUGGCGAAGGCGGCCAUCUGGACGGGUACUGACGCUGAGACGCGAAAGCGCGGGUAGCAAACAGG